ensembl:lncRNA
GACCUGGGAAACCUCGCUGCUCUUUUGCUCCUAGCUGGGGUCACCAUCUGUUAAAGGUUACCUCGGUGGAAGCCAACAAUCUUAUCCAGUUGGAGCAGUUGGAUGGUUGACCACUGAAAGCCCUGAUGCCCUAAACUUCAGUGAAGCCCAAUAGACAAAGACCAUUGACUGUCCAAGCCCCACCAGAGCCAGUGCGUACGGAUCAGUCUGAUUCUCUGUGCUCUGAGUCGGAGGGGGACCAGUUUGAGGAUCUAGGUGUUCUGCCCAACACCCAGAUGGGGAUCCACCUGUCAUCCGUUACCAACCACCCUCCAACUUUUCAUUACAUCAGCUACAGCUACGGUUAUUGUCAUGUUGUAAUUAUCUGAUUAAAAGUUUUCUUGCACUAUCAUGCUGGGCACAUAAUAUGUGAGAUACACAGAUUACCUAAAAACACUAGCACUGCAAACACUCAGAACAAAGAGAGCAGCAGUGCCUGGACCUUGCAGUCUCCCUCUUCAAGUCUCCAUUCCGAGAUUGACCUGCCUGUUGAGAACAAGUGACAGGCGGAACCUCCGACCACGUCCUCUAUAUUCUACACAACAGAAUUCCGUAUUUUAGUCUAUGAUUGCCAUGUGUGCAAACAAAUAUGUGA